rnacentral:rRNA from 1 species
ACGGGAGCAAUAAGGGUUACGAGUAAUCCGAUGAGAGUACUGUAUGAAUAAGGAUCGGCUAACUCCGUGCCAGCAGCCGCGGUAAUACGGAGGAUCCGAGCGUUAUCCGGAAUUAUUGGGUUUAAAGGGUGCGUAGGCGGCCAUUUAAGUCAGCGGUGAAAUUUUGCAGCUUAACUGUAACAGUGCCGUUGAUACUGUUUGGCUAGGAUUUGGUUGUAGUGUGCGGAAUGUGUGGUGUAGCGGUGAAAUGCUUAGAUAUCACACAGAACACCGAUUGCGAAGGCAGCACACUAAGUCAUUAUUGACGCUGAGGCAUGAAAGUGUGGGGAUCAAACAGGAUUAGAUACCCUGGUAGUCCACACUGUAAACGCUUAAAGGCGCUGUCGGCGAUCCACAGUCGGUGGCCAAGCGAAAGCAUUAAGUUAUCCACCUGGGGAGUACGACCGCAAGGUUGAAACUCAAAGGAAUUGACGGGGGCCCGCACAAGCGGAGGAACAUGUGGUUUAAUUCGAUGAUACGCGAGGAACCUUACCCGGGCCCGAACGGUGCAUGAAUAUACGAGAGAUUGUAUAGUCCUUCGGGACAUGUAUCGAGGUGCUGCAUGGUUGUCGUCAGCUCGUGCCGUGAGGUGUCGGCUUAAGUGCCAUAACGAGCGCAACCCUUGUCAUUAGUUGCCAUCAGGUCAAGCUGGGGACUUUAAUGAGACUGCCACCGUAAGGUGUGAGGAAGGGGGGGAUGACGUCAAAUCAGCACGGCCCUUAUGUCCGGGGCGACACACGUGUUACAAUGGGAGGUACAGAGGGCAGCUAUCCGGUGACGGAAUGCUAAUCUCCAAAACCUUUCUCAGUUCGGAUUGGAGUCUGCAGCUCGACUCCAUGAAGGUGGAUUCGCUAGUAAUCGCGCAUCAGCCAUGGCGCGGUGAAUACGUUCCCGGGCCUUGUACACACCGCCCGUCAAG